rnacentral:rRNA from 1 species
UACGUAGGGUGCAAGCGUUAAUCGGAAUUACUGGGCGUAAAGCGUGCGCAGGCGGCUUUGCAAGACAGAUGUGAAAUCCCCGGGCUUAACCUGGGAACUGCAUUUGUGACUGCAUGGCUGGAGUGCGGCAGAGGGGGAUGGAAUUCCGCGUGUAGCAGUGAAAUGCGUAGAUAUCUGAAGGAACAUCAGUGGCGAAAGCGACUUCCUGGACCAAUACUGACGCUCAUGUGCGAAAGCGUGGGGAGCAAACAGG